GACGAACGCUGGCGGCGUGCUUAAUACAUGCAAGUCGAAGGGGAUCCAUCCAGUGGCAACACUGGUGAAGAUCUAGUGGCGAACGGGUGCGUAACACGUGAGGAACCUGCCCCGGACUCUGGAAUAACAGUGGGAAACCAUGUCUAAUACCGGAUGCCUUCCUCGUCUCGCAUGGGACUGUGAAGAAAGAUUUAUCGGUUCGGGAGGGCCUCGCGGCCUAUCAGCUUGUUGGUGGGGUAACGGCCUACCAAGGCGUCGACCGGUAGCUGGUCUGAGAGGAUGAUCAGCCACACUGGGACUGAGACACGGCCCAGACUCCUACGGGAGGCAGCAGUAGGGAAUCUUGCGCAAUGGGCGAAAGCCUGACGCAGCAACGCCGCGUGGGGGAUGAAGGCCCUCGGGUUGUAAACCCCUUUCAGCAGGAACGAAUCUGACGGUACCUGCAGAAGAAGGCCCGGCCAACUACGUGCCAGCCGCCGCCGUAA
rnacentral:rRNA from 1 species